rnacentral:tRNA from 1 species
AACCCUAUAGUCAAUUAUUAAUGAUACUAGAUUGCAAAUCUAGAGUAGUAUAUUUAUACUAGGGUUU